rnacentral:rRNA from 1 species
UCGGCGGACGGGUGAGUAACACGUGGGUAACCUACCUAUAAGACUGGGAUAACUUCGGGAAACCGGAGCUAAUACCGGAUAAUAUUUCGAACCGCAUGGUUCGAUAGUGAAAGAUGGUUUUGCUAUCACUUAUAGAUGGACCUGCGCCGUAUUAGCUAGUUGGUAAGGUAACGGCUUACCAAGGCGACGAUACGUAGCCGACCUGAGAGGGUGAUCGGCCACACUGGAACUGAGACACGGUCCAGACUCCUACGGGAGGCAGCAGAU